AUGAAAGAUAGGAAGCACCUAGUUCAUUCAUCUGUCUUUGCUUCUUCUCAUCUCCCUCAGAGGAAGUCCCCCCACCCCCACCACCCCCCGUCACCCCCUGUCUUAGCUUUAAACCUCCACCUUCUCCACAUCAGCACUCCAUUUCCAGGCAAAAAACUCCAGGUUGAAAACGCAGGUCUUGAAAGACCUCACUACGUAUCACGAAGAGUUUACCAAAAUUCAUUUAGUAAGGGUGAUUUUCAAAGCUUCCGUUCUCAUCCUCCUUCUUGGAGAAUGCUUUCAAAGUUGGGAAGCUCAAAUGGCCUUGGACCUGGUGCUUUCUGCGCCUGGGUCCCCAUCAAGAACCGCGGUGCGGUCAGAGACACCGAGAUCACGCGGUAAACUUCCCCAGCACCAACCCAGCAGGCCGCUGAUGCUAGAAGCAUCCUAAGAAGCAGUUCUCUUCCUGUGUGCCCCUACGAAGCCCAAAUGCCCAACACAACCUCCCCAAAUAAGGAUUUACCCAUCCACAUAUAACAGGCACAAAUCCCUGAAACUUCUUUGUGAAGCAGGCUCAGCCCACACAGAAGGGACACUUGGCACAACUUGCAAGGAAAUAAACAUCUCAUCCCUGCAGGGAAACUUGUUGAAUCCCGCCGGAGCGUACCGCGGCAAUUUCCGAUUUAGCCUGAAGGUUUUUGAUUCUUCCCCUAAAUACCCUUGUGCACCAGUCACAAUUUCUAGACAAACUGCAGAGUCCUUUUAGCACCCAUUCUGCACUCCAACCACCACUGAUAGGAAGCCGAGCGUAUCUCUUUAGACAAUUCUAAAGCCAGCUUUCGCUUCCUUUGCCAUCCUUUGGGAGACUUACCCUUUGAUGAGGCUCUUUUCAGCAAUCUAGAGGCUUCUUGGUGCAGGCGCAGCCUUCCAACUUUGCUGGGCACAGAGACCUUCCUGAGUUCAACCAAGCAAAAGCUGUCUGGGACUUAGAAAUAGAAGAGUGGGAAAUAAGAAGAGAGUGCAGUCGGGUUUCUUUUCAGUAUCGGCACCCUGGAAAAAUCCAAUCCUUCUUCUGUAGAGAAUUCUUUGAAACCCGUUAUCUGUAUUACUAUUAAUGCGCAGAGCAGAGGGCAUUGCAUGCAAAUGGGUCCGAGUGUGAGCUUCUAUUGGUGGCUGCGGAGGCCCCUGGGUCCUACUGCUCUGGCUCUAAACUACACAGCAACACUACGCGCGCAGCUUUGGAGGCGCGGAAGGGAAAAUGGAUUUAAUUGAUUCGUUACCUCUGGUAUUGUAAUGCCUGCUGCGAUGUUCAGCGGAUGAAAAAAAAAAAAAAAAGAAAGAAAACCCUCACAUUUAAACUCCUGUCAUGUGAUCUAUCAUUUCAUAUUUGCUUUUAAUUGUGUGGAGUGGCUUUGAAACAUACAAAGGCUUUUUAAAAGAACGCUUUUUGAAGAAAAUUCACAUAGAUGCAUUUGGUACGAAAACCCU
rnacentral:lncRNA from 1 species